CAACGUAGGAAGAAUGGUAAUUUGCACAUAAAUUGAAUUGGGUCUCUAGGCCUGGCCUGCUCUCUCUGAUGCCAUUUGGCUUUGAUUUGGGGGCAUGGUUCUGCAGCAAAACA